GAGUGUAUAGCUCAGUGGUAGAGUGUGUGCUUAGCAUGCACGGGGUCCUGGGUUCAAUCCCCUGUACCUCCA
rnacentral:tRNA from 1 species